UACGGAAUGUGCAAACGUUAUUCGGAAUCACUGGGCUUAAAGAGUCCGUAGGCGGCUUGUUAGGUGAGGUGUGAAAUCCCCCGGCUCAACCGAGGAAUUGCGCUUCAAACCGGCGAGCUUGAGGAAGGUAGAGGUGGGCGGAACUGAUGGUGGAGCGGUGAAAUGCGUAGAUAUCGUUUGGAACGCCAAUGGUGAAAACAGACAGCUGGGAGUGUGCUGACGCUGAGACACGAAAGCCAGGGGAGCGAACGGG
rnacentral:rRNA from 1 species